UGCUGAUUGCAUCCUGUGGUGUCUCGGUCUGGUCUUUGGAGUUGGAGGGUCUCCAUCCCGAGGGAAAGUUCUCCCUGAGAGCUUUUCAUUUGGUGCGUUGGCCGGGAAAGGAGAUCCUCCACCCAGGGACCACCGACCACCCACUGGGAGGUAAGCCGGCCGGCGUCUGUCUGUCUGUCUGUCUGUCUGAUUUUGUCUCGUUCUGCCUUAUUCUGUCUGUUCUGUGAGCGCUCAGCCAGGUCUGUUCUGUGAGCGCUCAGCCAGGUCUGUUCUGUGAGCGCUCAGCCAGGUUCUGUGAGCGCUCAGCCAGGUUGUUUGGAAUUUGGGCGGGACGAAGAAGGAGCUGACGAGCUCGGACUUCUCGCCCCGCAGCCCUGGAAGACGUUCCAAGGGUGUUGGGGCCCGACUUUUCGGGGCCCAAUCUGGGAGAGGAGAAAGAUCCGGACUAACGGCACCUCUGUCUGUAUUUUUGGCUUUCAGAGGGCCCCGGACCUUUGCCACCUCCAUCUGACUUUUUGCUUUCAGUUUGGUACCAAAGCCGUGCAGCACGCCUGUCUGUUGUUUGUUUGACUGUUGGUGUUGUUUGUUUUCUCUGUGUUCUAAUCUUCCUUAGAACUAACAUGGGACAGUCCCUAACAACGCCCCUAAGUCUCACUCUUGAUCAUUAGAAAGACGUCCAUGACCGGGCACACAACCAGUCCGUCGAGGUUAAAAAAAAAAAAGGAAAAUGGCAGACUCUCUGCACAUCCGAGUGGCCCACUUUCGGAGCGGGAUGGCCAGUGAAUGGCACAUUUAAUAAGAUCAUUAUUUUACAG
ensembl:lncRNA